rnacentral:tRNA from 1 species
GGCAUGGCUUAGUGGAUAGAGCAUGGGGCUGGUAGUCAUAUGGACCUAGGUUCUAAUCCUGGCUCUGCCA